CGGAUUUCCAACUCACAAAGUGGAAGCAACCUCACAAAGGGAUUCCAGGGGCUACAGUACACUCUGCACUCUUUAUUUUACCCAAAUUUGUUCCUCAGCUGGAGCGUGGUCAGCUCAGAGGCGACGUCACUCCCAGCACGUGCCGCGCGCUAAAGUGUCCUCCUGAGUCACAAGACACCGCUACAUGCAGUGCCCUAUAAGAUGCCCUUCCCAUCUUCUGUUAUGAAGUUCCCUGCUGUCCCUACAUGACAGUGUCCCAAAGGAUGUCCUUAGAGGAAAUGAUAUUCAGUGGCAUCUCGGUGAUAG